UCUGUGCUUUUCCAGGGUGAUCCUGAGAACAACAUUGAACAGGUAUAAUCUCAUAAGUUAUAAUCAGAGGAAGGAAACGCCUGAGAGAUCUGAAGGUUUUAAUUGUUGUUGAGUGCAGAUGGUUUGGAUUACCGCACAGGAAUGGAGCUCAAGGUCAGUGUCUGUAAUCAGCUGCCUGAAUGUAUGAUUUUAGCUGGACGGCACCAUUUCUGGGUAAGAGCUGUGCAGCUACAUUUAAGCAGCAUUAGUGCCUGGAACACUGGCUGACAGAUUAAAAUGUACGUUUAUCAGAAAUUGAUAGCACAGAUAAACCGAACAUAUUUGUCACAUAAAAUAAGAUCUUGUCAGUGAACUUUAAAAGAAAACAGGAAGUGGAC
rnacentral:lncRNA from 1 species